rnacentral:rRNA from 1 species
GACGAACGCUGGCGGCGUGCUUAACACAUGCAAGUCGAACGGAAAGGCCCUGCUUGCAGGGUACUCGAGUGGCGAACGGGUGAGUAACACGUGGGUGAUCUGCCCUGCACUUCGGGAUAAGCUUGGGAAACUGGGUCUAAUACCGGAUAGGAGCCAUCUUUAGUGUGGUGGUUGGAAAGUCUUUUCGGUGUAGGAUGAGCUCGCGGCCUAUCAGCUUGUUGGUGGGGUAAUGGCCUACCAAGGCGGCGACGGGUAGCCGGCCUGAGAGGGUGUACGGCCACAUUGGGACUGAGAUACGGCCCAGACUCCUACGAGAGGCAGCAGUGGGGAAUAUUGCGCAGUGGGCGCAAGCCUGAUGCAGCGACGCCGCGUGGGAGAUGAAGGCCUUCGGGUUGUAAACUCCUUUCGCUAGGGACGAAGCUAUUUUGUGACGGUACCUAGAUAAGAAGCACCGGCUAACUACGUG